rnacentral:rRNA from 1 species
GAUGAACGCUGGCGGCGUGCUUAACACAUGCAAGUCGAACGAAGCAUUUGCGACAGAUUUUUUCGGAAUGAAGUUGCUUAUGACUGAGUGGCGGGCGGGUGAGUAACGCGUGGGUAACCUGCCUUGUACUGGGGGAUAGCAGCUGGAAACGGCUGGUAAUACCGCAUAAGCGCACAAUGUUGCAUGACAUGGUGUGAAAAACUCCGGUGGUAUAAGAUGGACCCGCGUCUGAUUAGCUAGUUGGUGAGAUAACAGCCCACCAAGGCGACGAUCAGUAGCCGACCUGAGAGGGUGACCGGCUACAUUGGGACUGAGACACGGCCCAGACUCCUACGGGAGGCAGCAGUGGGGAAUAUUGCACAAUGGAGGAAACUCUGAUGCAGCGACGUCGCGUGAGUGAAGAAGUAAUUCGUUAUGUAAAGCUCUAUCAGCAGGGAAGAUAGUGACGGUACCUGACUAAGAAGCUCCGGCUAAAUACGUG